rnacentral:rRNA from 1 species
UACGUAGGUGACCAGCGUUGUCCGGAUUUACUGGGCGUAAAGAGCGCGCAGGCGGUCGUUCAAGUCGAGUGUGAAAGCCCCCGGCUCAACUGGGGAGGGUCGUUCGAUACUGAUCGACUCGAAGGCAGGAGAGGGAAGCGGAAUUCCCGGUGUAGUGGUGAAAUGCGUAGAUAUCGGGAGGAACACCAGUGGCGAAGGCGGCUUCCUGGCCUGUUCUUGACGCUGAGGCGCGAAAGCUAGGGGAGCAAACGGG